rnacentral:lncRNA from 1 species
AGUGUUAUAUCAAAAUGAUCGCAAGAUUGAUAGAAAUUGGUGUUUUGUCAUUUAUUUUAUGAAACUCAUACAUAAGAUAUUGGAGAGGAAAAUCUUGAUGUUUGCUCUAUAAGAGAGGAGAGAGAAGAUGUGAGGGAUAAAGAUACUACAGCAUGUGGUGACUUAGAAUAUAGAUUACACCAUAAUUUUGGAAAUAGGAUAAAGAUACUACAGCAUGUAGUGACUUACAAUAUAG